rnacentral:lncRNA from 1 species
UCCCAUGCCCCUGUCUACUUUUAUGAGUUCGAUCAUAAGGCCAAGUACCUCAAUGAUGUCAGACCACCCCAUGUGAAAGCUGACCAUGGAGAUGAGGUGCCCUUUGUCUUUGGGAACUCCUUCUGGGGCAUGCAACUUGACCUCACUGCGGAGGAGAAGCUGCUGAGCAGAAGCAUCAUGAAGUACUGGGCCAACUUUGCACGGCAUAGGAACCCCAACAGCUUGGGUCUACCCCACUGGCCUGUUUUUGACCACGGUGA